UACGUAGGGUGCGAGCGUUGUCCGGAAUUAUUGGGCGUAAAGGGCUCGUAGGCGGUUUGUCGCGUCGGGAGUGAAAACCAGGUGCUUAACACCUGGCUUGCUUUCGAUACGGGCAGACUAGAGGUAUUCAGGGGAGAACGGAAUUCCUGGUGUAGCGGUGAAAUGCGCAGAUAUCAGGAGGAACACCAGUGGCGAAGGCGAGUCCCUGGACACUUCCUGACACUGAGGCACGAAAGCUAGGGGAGCAAACAGG
rnacentral:rRNA from 1 species